UGGGGAAUAUUGGGCAAUGGAGGCAACUCUUACCCAGCAAUGCCGCGUGAAUGAAGAAGGUCUUCGGAUUGUAAAGUUCUUUAAUUGGGGACGAAAAAAAUGACGGUACCCAAGGAAUAAGCCCCGGCUAACUACGUGCCAGCAGCCGCGGUAAUACGUAGGGGGCAAGCGUUGUUCGGAAUGACUGGGCGUAAAGGGUGUGUAGGCGGUGUAGCAAGUUAGAAGUGAAAUACCUAGAGCUUAACUCAGGUGCUGCUUCUAAAACUGCUAUACUUGAGUGCAGUAGAGGAAAGUGGAAUUCCU
rnacentral:rRNA from 1 species